CCUACGGGAGGCAGCAGUGGGGAAUAUUGCACAAUGGGGGAAACCCUGAUGCAGCGACGCCGCGUGAGUGAAGAAGUAAUUCGUUAUGUAAAGCUCUAUCAGCAGGGAAGAAAAUGACGGUACCUGAGUCAGAAGCCCCGGCUAACUACGUGCCAGCAGCCGCGGUAAUACGUAGGGGGCAAGCGUUAUCCGGAUUUACUGGGUGUAAAGGGAGCGUAGACGGCAGUGCAAGUCUGGAGUGAAAGGCGGGGGCUCAAACCCCGGACUGCUCUGGAAACUGUACGGCUGGAGUGCAGGAGAGGUAAGUGGAAUUCCUAGUGUAGCGGUGAAAUGCGUAGAUAUUAGGAGGAACACCAGUGGCGAAGGCGGCUUACUGGACUGUAACUGACGUUGAGGCUCGAAAGCGUGGGGAGCAAACAGGAUUAGAUACCCUGGUAGUC
rnacentral:rRNA from 1 species